rnacentral:rRNA from 1 species
UGAGCAACCUACCCUUGACACUGGAAUAACAGCUGGAAACAGCUGCUAAUACCGGAUACGACCUUCGAUGGCAUCAUCUGGAGGUGGAAAGCUCCGACGGUCAAGGAUGGGCUCGCGGCCUAUCAGCUUGUUGGUGAGGUAAUGGCUCACCAAGGCGACGACGGGUAGCUGGUCUGAGAGGAUGGCCAGCCACAUUGGGACUGAGACACCGGCACGA